rnacentral:rRNA from 1 species
GACGAACGCUGGCGGCGUGCUUAACACAUGCAAGUCGAACGGAAAGGCCCUGCUUUUGUGGGGUGCUCGAGUGGCGAACGGGUGAGUAACACGUGAGUAACCUGCCCUUGACUUUGGGAUAACUUCAGGAAACUGGGGCUAAUACCGGAUAGGAGCUCCUGCUGCAUGGUGGGGGUUGGAAAGUUUCGGCGGUUGGGGAUGGACUCGCGGCUUAUCCGCUUGUUGGUGGGGUAGUGGCUUACCAAGGCUUUGACGGGUAGCCGGCCUGAGAGGGUGACCGGCGACAUUGGGACUGAGAUACGGCCCAGACGCCUACGGGAGGCAGCAGUGGAGAAUAUUGCACAAUGGGCGGAAGCCUGAUGCAGCAGUGCCGCGUGCGGGAUGACGGGCUACGGGUGGUAAACCGCUUUCGCCGGUGACGAAGCGUGAGUGACGGUAAUGGGUAAAGAAGCACCGGCUAACUACGUG